CUCAGAUAUUUUACUGUUUAGUAAAUCCCCUUUAAUAAAAAAAUGAAAAUAAAUCAAACGUUGUUAAUGUCAAAGCCAUCUGCAUCUUCUCCCGGUACUAAAUGUUCCAAAAACCACUCCUAGCAUCAGGGUCAACAAGUAAAUUCAGGCUUUGUGUUAAUACAAUAACUUAACAGUCUAUUCAUAUGUGCAGUUAAGUAAUUGAUGAUUGCAUAUUUUUGUGUUUUUUUAUAUAUAUAACAGAAUUGAGCUGCUCCACGAAAUACAAGUGGACAAAGG